GUUGCAGAUGUAUGGCUAUGGCAGCUGGAAGGAACAUCUGUUGUUACUGCUGACAGUAAUACCCUGUGUCUAGCAAAUGGAGACAGCCUUCUCAUCCCAGAACAGACUGCGUUCCAGUGGAAGAGAGCUGAAGGAUCCAUUGCUCUUUCCGUUAUUCAGGAUCCUGCACGGAAAAGACCCUAUACCUGAGUUGCUGGCAAGAUUGAUUAAUAAAAGACUGAUAAAAUGUUAUAUGUGAGCACUGCAAUCGAAGAAGAAGAAGAAGAAGAAGAAGAAGAAGAAGAAGAAGAAGAAGAAGAAGAAGAAGAAGAGUCAUUAAUCUUGAAUCCACACAUCUAAAACUAUAUGACACCAUUUAAACAGUCAUAGAUUUCCCCAAAUAAUCCUAGGCAUGGUAGUUUGUUAAAGUUGCCACAGCUCCCUGGGAAGAGGGAUUGAUUGUUAAACGACUCUGGAAUUGUAGCUCUGGGAAGGAAUAGGAGAGUUUAGAAGCAACUCUCAGCACCCUUAAUAAACUACAGAGCAACUGAUAUGACUUUUCAUAUGUGGUGGGCAUGUGAGCUGUUACAACCAUUCUGGGAAAGCAUAUGUACAGAAAUAAGCAAAAUCACAAAUCAGGACAUAUAAUGUAAUCCAAGCCUAGGCUUAUUAACAGAUAUUCAACUUAAUUUGUUAUACACAG